GCGCGCUGCUCAUUGGCCGGCGUAGCUGUCGCGGCGCUCCGGGGCGCGCGGGAGAGGCGGGACUUCCGGUCGGCGCCGCCUGCGAAGUGCUCCGCGGCCGGCGGAGACGCGGGCAGCCAGCGAUGGCCGCGGAGGGGGCGAACUGGGUUCCGGCCCUCGGAGGCUGACGGAAGGCGGUGGCUGAGGAGCGGCGCCUCUGGUUGAGCGCUCGCCGUGUGUCCCGCACCUGUCUGUCCUGCCGCCGCCCGGUAAGGUAGGAAAGAGUCUCACUCUGUUGCCAAGGCUGGAGUGCAGUGGCGGGAUCUCGGCUAACUGCAACCUCCCCAUCCCGGGUUCAAGCGAUUCUCCUGCCUCAGCCUCCCGAGUAGCUGCGAUUACAGACAUUUGCCACCAUGCCCGGCACAGCACAGCACCGCACAUCUCCAGUCGGACUGGCUACAUUUCAAGGGCUCAACCAUCACGCGUUACCAGUGGCUACUGCAUCAGACUGUGCAGUGCUAGAUGGGGAGUCAGAAGAGAAACCAAGUGAUUUCCAUGUCAAGUGGUGAACAGGCUAAGAAGAAAAGUCCACUUACAGCUGGAUUUACUUCCACCUCUGCCACCUGUGAGACAGCGAGACCAACCCCUCCUCCUCCUCUUCCUAGCCUACUCCGAGUGAAGAUGAUGAAGAUGAAGACCGUUAUGAUCCACUUCCACUUAAUGAAAGAUGAAUAUAUUUUCUCUUCCUAAUGAUUUUUUUUUUUUUUUUUUUGGAGACAGAGUCUCGCUGCAUCCCCCAGGCUGGAGUACAGUGGUAUGAUCUUGGCUCACUGCAACCUCUGCCUCCUAGGUUCAAGUGAUUCUCCUGCCUCAGUCUCCCGAGUAGCUGGGAUUACAGGCGCCCACCACCAUGCCCGGCUAAUUUUUGUAUUUUUAGUAGAGAUGGGGUUUCACUAUGUUGGCCAGGCUGGUCUCAAACUCCUGACCUCAGGUGAUCUGCCUGACUUGGCCUCCCAAAGUGCUGGGAUUACAGGCAUGAGCCACCUUGCCUGGCCUCUUCCUAAUGAUUUUUUAAAGUACAUCUUGUUUUCUCUGUCUUACUUUAUCAUAAAAAUAUAUGAUACAAAUAAAAUACAGAAUAUGUGUUAAUGGACUGUGUAUGUUAUGAGU
rnacentral:lncRNA from 1 species